UACGUAGGGUGCAAGCGUUAAUCGGAAUUACUGGGCGUAAAGCGUGCGCAGGCGGUUGUGCAAGACAGAUGUGAAAUCCCCGGGCUCAACCUGGGAACUGCAUUUGUGACUGCACGGCUGGAGUGCGGCAGAGGGGGAUGGAAUUCCGCGUGUAGCAGUGAAAUGCGUAGAUAUCGCUUGGAACGCCGAAGGUGAAAACAGGCUGCUGGGGUUGCGCCGACGCUGAGACACGAAAGCCAGGGGAGCAAACGGG
rnacentral:rRNA from 1 species